rfam:Villosiclava virens strain TV-8b Sca_47, whole genome shotgun sequence.
GCCCGGUUAGCUCAAUCGGUAGAGCGUGAGACUCUUAGCGAGUACACGAAAUCUCAAGGUUGCGGGUUCGACCCCCGCAUCGGGCU